rnacentral:rRNA from 1 species
AGUGAACGCUGGCGGUAGGCCUAACACAUGCAAGUCGAACGGCAGCACAGUAAGAGCUUGCUCUUACGGGUGGCGAGUGGCGGACGGGUGAGGAAUACAUCGGAAUCUACUUUUUCGUGGGGGAUAACGUAGGGAAACUUACGCUAAUACCGCAUACGACCUACGGGCGAAAGCAGGGGAUCUUCGGACCUUGUGCGAUUGAAUGAGCCGAUGUCGGAUUAGCUAGUUGGCGGGGUAAAGGCCCACCAAGGCGACGAUCCGUAGCUGGUCUGAGAGGAUGAUCAGCCACACUGGAACUGAGACACGGUCCAGACUCCUACGGGAGGCAGCAGUGGGGAAUAUUGGACAAUGGGCGCAAGCCUGAUCCAGCCAUACCGCGUGGGUGAAGAAGGCCUUCGGGUUGUAAAGCCCUUUUGUUGGGAAAGAAAAGCAGCAGGUUAAUACCCCGCUGUUCUGACGGUACCCAAAGAAUAAGCACCGGCUAACUUCGUG